rnacentral:rRNA from 1 species
GAUGAACGCUGGCGGCGUGCCUAAUACAUGCAAGUCGAGCGAACAGACGAGGAGCUUGCUCCUCUGACGUUAGCGGCGGACGGGUGAGUAACACGUGGAUAACCUACCUAUAAGACUGGGAUAACUUCGGGAAACCGGAGCUAAUACCGGAUAAUAUAUUGAACCGCAUGGUUCAAUAGUGAAAGACGGUUUUGCUGUCACUUAUAGAUGGAUCCGCGCCGCAUUAGCUAGUUGGUAAGGUAACGGCUUACCAAGGCAACGAUGCGUAGCCGACCUGAGAGGGUGAUCGGCCACACUGGAACUGAGACACGGUCCAGACUCCUACGGGAGGCAGCAGUAGGGAAUCUUCCGCAAUGGGCGAAAGCCUGACGGAGCAACGCCGCGUGAGUGAUGAAGGUCUUCGGAUCGUAAAACUCUGUUUUUAGGGAAGAACAAAUGUGUAAGUAACUAUGCACGUCUUGACGGUACCUAAUCAGAAAGCCACGGCUAACUGCGUG